rnacentral:lncRNA from 1 species
UGAACUUCGGCAAGCUGUGACCCUCAAUUUGUCCUUCCGACUUGUUAUGAAACAUCUAUCGCUAGUGUCUCUGCAAGUCCUUUCGAAUGCUCAAGAAGUUCCAGUUCAACCUCGCUUACAGAUUGUGAGGCUAUGUUGCAAUCUACACCGAUGUCCCUUGGCCGCUUGCUGAUAUUCCUCUUAUCCCUGUCGGGAGGUCUCCAAUUAUUAUAGAAACCCUAAACAACCUCAAAUUGCCAACUUCCAAUACCUCUUUAAACUGUUGGCAGAUAUCCUCUAUCCGUAUAGUUAGAUUAACACAAUCACGCAUGCAUUCAGCAUACUCAACCUUCUAGACAACUCUGAAUUUCAACCACAGAAGUAUCUCCCAUUCCAUCAAUAAUCAAGAGUAUCAGCCUUUUCUCCCUUCCGGAAAAAUCCAGUUCACCAAUAUAACACUGACUUUCAGCAACCAUCCUCUCAGUCUCUCCAAAAUCCUAUAUAAAAAAAAACCCCAAUUCUC